rnacentral:rRNA from 1 species
CCUACGGGUGGCAGCAGUGAGGAAUAUUGGUCAAUGGCCGAGAGUCUGAACCAGCCAAGUCGCGUGAGGGAAGAAUGCCCUAUGGAUUGUAAACCUCUUUUGUCAGGGAGCAAAGUUACCCACGUGUGGGUGUUGGAGAGUACCUGAAGAAUAAGCAUCGGCUAACUCCGUGCCAGCAGCCGCGGUAAUACGGAGGAUGCGAGCGUUAUCCGGAUUUAUUGGGUUUAAAGGGUGCGUAGGCGGGUUAUUAAGUCAGCGGUAAAAUGGUGGAGCUAAACUCCAUACAGCCUUUUAAACUGAUGAUCUUGAGUGUGCGUGAGGUAGGCGGAAUGUGUGGUGUAGCGGUGAAAUGCAUAGAGAUCACGCAGAACUCCGAUUGCGAAGGCAGCAUACCGGCGCCCGACUGACGCUGAAGCACGAAAGCGUGGGUAUCGAACAGGAUUAGAUACCCUGGUAGUC